GUAGUCCUGGCUGUAAACGAUGUCGACUUGGAGGUUGUUCCCUUGAGGAGUGGCUUCCGGAGCUAACGCGUUAAGUCGACCGCCUGGGGAGUACGGCCGCAAGGUUAAAACUCAAAUGAAUUGACGGGGGCCCGCACAAGCGGUGGAGCAUGUGGUUUAAUUCGAUGCAACGCGAAGAACCUUACCUACUCUUGACAUCCAGAGAACUUAGCAGAGAUGCUUUGGUGCCUUCGGGAACUCUGAGACAGGUGCUGCAUGGCUGUCGUCAGCUCGUGUUGUGAAAUGUUGGGUUAAGUCCCGCAACGAGCGCAACCCUUAUCCUUUGUUGCCAGCGGUUCGGCCGGGAACUCAAAGGAGACUGCCAGUGAUAAACUGGAGGAAGGUGGGGAUGACGUCAAGUCAUCAUGGCCCUUACGAGUAGGGCUACACACGUGCUACAAUGGCAUAUACAAAGAGAAGCGACCUCGCGAGAGCAAGCGGACCUCACAAAGUAUGUCGUAGUCCGGAUCGGAGUCUGCAACUCGACUCCGUGAAGUCGGAAUCGCUAGUAAUCGUAGAUCAGAAUGCUACGGUGAAUACGUUCCCGGGCCUUGUACACACCGCCCGUCACACCAUGGGAGUGGGUUGCAAAAGAAGUAGGUAGCUUAACCUUCGGGAGGGCGCUUACCACUUUGUGAUUCAUGACUGGGGUGAAGUCGUAACAAGGUAACCGUAGGGGAACCUGCGGCUGGAUCACCUCC
rnacentral:rRNA from 1 species